rnacentral:lncRNA from 1 species
AUACUUCCACCAGAACCUGACUCUGUGAAGGGAAUGGAGAGACAGAAAGGCCAUAGCGAGAGUGGCCACGAGAGCACUGCUAGGGCAAAGGGCCCUGGGUUUUUCUAGUCCUCACUGCCACAGAGUCCGAGUGGGAGGCCUCAGGCAAGUCAGAAGUCACUUUUCCUCCACGGGACUCACUCCUUUUAUCUGUGAAAUGCGGAGAUGGCAAGCAGCUCCAUACUCCACGGCUGAGGACGAGCUAGGGUCCCGCACAGACUCAUCGAGGGCCCUGCCAGCACCCCUACGCCUCUGCCCACAGGACCUCCACCUCCCACAGGACUUUCCGAAAGCUCUGACUACCAACCACCAAGCGCCCGGCCCCCACGCUCGCCCCCGGCAGGCGGCGCGUCCCCCCCAGGCCUUCGCACCCACCGCGUGGGCUCCUGCCCUGGCCUCACCUGCCCCCGACACUCCCCGUCCCCGCGAUGCCCAACUCCGGCCCGAGAAGGCUGGCCGCGACCUCGCCCGGUACCCGCCGCCCCGACACCACCAUUCGCCUCCUCGACCUCCCCCGGCGCCGCUGCCCACCCGCCCCUCGCCCCGCUCACCGGGGCCGCUCACUGGCCGCCGCCGCGCCGCCUCCUCCGCGGCCUCCCUCGCGGCCGGACCAGCCCCAGGGACCGCGGGGGACCCGGCCGCCGCUGUCGCCGCCGCCGCCUCGCCUCAGCCCAGCCCCAUCGCCCUCGGCCGGCGCCGCGCGCUGCGGCUCAGGGUGAGGGAAGGAGGCGCCGCGGCGGGGCCGGGCCGGCCCUGGGACGUCCGCGCUCUCCUCCUCCUCCGCGCCCGCGGCGGCGGCGUGCAGCCGGCAGGGCGAGAACAAGGGAGGGCGGCGGGAGGUGGGCAGGGGAGGGGGGCGGUCUGCACUCCGAAACGGCCCCCCCGCCGCCAGCGACGUAGAGAACCCCCCUCCCCUCCGCGGCGGCGCCCGAUCACGCUGCGGGGAGAGCCGGCAGGCAGGCGGGGGAGCGCGCGCGGGCUCAGGACUCCCGCGCCGGAUGUGAGGUCACGUGGUGGCUUCAUCCCCGCGCGGAGGGCGGAGGGGCGCGGGCGACGUCAGGAGGCGGGGAAGGGGCGGGGAGGGGCGGGGCGAUUUAUAGGCCCCGCCCACCCAUCGCCUUUGCCACCCUCGAACGGGCAAAAGAAAGAAAGAGGCAGCCACCCUCGCCCCCGCCAAAACAAACAGACAAAAAACUGUCAUUCUCAUAUGACCACGGACUCUGCGCCCCGGCCGCAGGCGGAGGACAGGGAGGAGCGCACACGAGAAAGCUCCCACGCGCCCGCGCCUCGCCUCCGACGGGAAGGCGCCUCUUCCGACCGUCCUGGAUGCAAAUUAAAUACUUCCCUCCGCAGAAGACUUAUCUCGGGGUAGGGCCGCAGCCGGAUUUCCAAAUCGCGGGUUUGAUUUUCGCUGCGUCCUCUCCGCGACGCGCGCAGGGAGCGCGCCCGGCCACCUGCAGCCUCUGGCUGCGGCCAUCUUUCCGCCUGGGGCCACCUGGCCUGCGCCCUUUGUGCCCGGCCCGCUCCGUGACUGUUCUUCUUGCCGCUACUUACAGAACUCAGCCGCCUUAGCGUCUUAGAGAAGAGGACGGCAUGCAUGCGGACCCCGUCCACCACACCUGGAGAGCAGGGAGCCCUUAGUCCCUGGACACUUACCAGGGCCGCCACCCCUGGUCCACGCACGUGAUGACAUCUCACCAGGGGCAGCACACCGCCCGAGUCCGCGACACUGAUAACACCUCCUGCGGGCAGGAGGGCGCCACAGCCACCCCUGGUCCCCUAGAUUGUGUGAGGCUAGCAUUUCUGCCCGCCUCUUGGCGUGGACAGCACGCUGGACCGAGAUGGAACCACAGCUUUCUCUUCCCAAUCCCUGGCCUCACCGUUUUGUUUCAUACCUCACCGUUUGUUUCAAACCUCGUGGUGUUGAAAUGAUUAAAUGAGAUUAAGGGGUGUGUGGUAGUGUUGGGCAAACCACAAGAAAACGGUCUGGGUGGGGUCUGGCCCUAAAAUCUUCCUCCCCCACCUCCCAGGCUUCCUUGCCUUGCUGCUUCCUCUCAGCCUUUAAACAGGUUGGCCUCUCCAAGUCCUAAAAACAAAAUUAUCAAGCCAACCUCCUCCUGAAGUGCUCCCUCCAACUAGCUUCCAAGUGUUUCAUGCGGACCUCAAACAAUGGUCUUCCCUGGCUGCCUCUGCUUCCUCAUUUCUCAACACUUGGCAUUCUGGCUUCUCCUCCCCAACUCUAACCCUUCACCUUGCUCAGGCAAGAGCAACUCAUGACUUUCAUUUUGCCAAACCUUGCAGGCAUUCCUCAGGCCUUAUCUCUCUGGUUCUUUCUGCUACAUUUGACACCUUGGGAUGACUCUCACCUUCUGGAAUCUCUCUACUACCUUGGUUUCAGAAGAGUGAACCCUCUGGAUUAUCACAUGAAGCUACUUCCUGUGAGCAGCCCAGGGAUGGCCAGUCACUUGUGACCUACUUUCAGAGCUGGCAGUUCUGACUUCUAGAACAAACUCGGAACAAGCCCAUCUACAGCUGGUUGACUGAGUUUCCUUUGGGCUCCUGGCACCAGAAAGAAUUGCUCACUGGAAGGAUCAUAGGUGGCACUCAUGUCUCACUGCCCCACUCAGGCAACAUCAUGCACGCGGAUGAUCAACAGUCAGUUCCUGGUCAACAUAAGUAAACAAGCCUGUUUAAGAUAAAUUCCCCCACACUCCCUUGUACCUACUCCUUGCCCUCUGCCCCAGGGUUAUAGAACAGCUGCUUUCUGCUAUUCUCCCCCCAGGCUCUGCAGAACCUUCUGACCUUUCAGAAGGUUUGCAUCCUUUCCCUAUAGUUUUUCCACCGCUCUGACCAGUCCCCCACAAUAUAUAGCCUUGUAUGCAAAGCCAGGCCUGUCCAUGCAGGGUGACCAUCCAAGGUAGACAGUGGCAAAAUCUGGUGGAGGCAUCAGAGAUAGUGCCAUCAGUUUGCUGGAACAAGCAUAUCAAGGAGCCUGGCAGAUCUACACUUCACCAGACGGUGCCUGUAGCCAACAGGGCAGGCCCUUGCUCCAGGGAAACACUCAGAAAUCAAAACUCCUUGCUCUGCUGCCAGGGAACUCUCCAGGAGAUCCUCAGUGUCAUCAGAAGCUGAAAAAAACAGUGCUGAGAAACGUGGCCUGCCGUCUUUCCAGCUAAGGGAGAUGGCCCAUUCGACCCUGGGUUGUCCUCUGCAAACGCGCUGCUGCAGGUUGCAUGGCACCAUCUCCUGAUUGCAAUUUGCUUUCCUGAGGGAGUGAACUGACUGAAAUUGGAUGGAGCUGGUGAGGCAGCGCAUGGCAACAGGUUCAGGGUGAGGAGUGGCACCACCUCCUUUCAGUGAGGAUUUGGGAAGGGUGAAAAGCACCCUAAUCUUCUCAGCCGCAUGUGAACAAACCACCUGUCAAGGUGGGUCCUUCCUAUAGGGAGGUUGAUGUCAGCCCUUCAGGGAGGUCUCAGUUUUCUUCCUCCACUUCCUAAUCCCUUCAUUAUAAUUCCUUCCACAACAGAAUAAGUUUCUUGAGCAAUGCAGCAAUAUCCAGCAAUUUUAGAUAGACAUUUACCUUUUGACCUAGAAAUCUCACUUCUACGAAUCCAUCCUAAAGACACACUUUCAGCUGGAUGUGGUCGCUCAUGCCUGCGAUCCUAACACUCUGGGAGGCUAAAGUGGAAGAAUCUCUUGGGCUCAGGAGCUCAAGACCAGCCUGGGCAACAUAGGAAGACCCUAUCUCUAAAAAAAAUAAAAAUAAAAACGGCACACAGUCAAAAAUUCAAAAAUUAAUAUACAUAAGGCUAUUUAUUACAGAAACAUUGGUAGUAGCAAAAGACUGGAAAUAACUCAAUGCCCAUCAAUAGGGAACGGAGUAAAUAAACUAAGAUACCUACACAUAAUGGAGUGCCAUGCAGCUUUGAAAGGAAAUGAGGCAUAUUUCUAUGUUAUAUGUUGUGAUCACCAGAAUAUAACCUAAUGAGUAAAAAGCCAGGUGAAGAAAAUUCUGAUAAUAUGCUAUCAUUGGAGAGGGGAAUAUGAAUAUACCAUACAUCACAUAGGAGGAGAGAGGAAAUAAAGUGAGAGGAUUGGGAUAGAAGCUAGACUUUUCUAAAUAUAUCUUGUUUUAUAGAUUUAUGUUGGAAGUUUGUGGAUAUAGUACUUUAGAAAAGUAUAAAACCAAAUUAGACUUGACAAAAUGAAACAAGUCAAUCUGUUGAGUUGAUGGUGUAACUACACAGUGAGAAACUAUUGCAAAUGACCUUAACACUCAGGAAUUCCACUGUAUAUUCCUAAUGGGAGAUCCCCUAAUGACCAAACUUAAACCCAGUCCAACCAAACCAAAAAACCUUGUAAAAUAUCUGAAACCAUUUUUAGUAAUGAAAUGAGAAAUGUGGUCGUGUUGGUGAUAUGGUUUGGCUGUGUCCCCACCCCGACAUCAUCUUGAAUUGUAACUCCCACAAUUCCCACAUGUCAUGAGAGGAACCCAGUGGGAGGUGAUUGAAUUAUGGGUGUGGGUCUUUCCUGCGCUGUUCCCAUGAUAGUGAAUGACAAGAUCUGAUGAUUUUAAAAACGGUUUCCCCGCACAACCUCCCUCUCUUGCCUGCCACCAUCUAUGUAAGAUGUGACUUGUUCCUCCUUGCCUUCCGCUGUGAUCGUGAGGCCUCCCCAGCCAUGUGGAACUGUAAGUCCAUUAAACCUCUUUUUCUUCCCAGUCUCGGGUAUGUCUUCAUCAGCAGCAUGAAAAUAAACUCAUACAGUAAAUUGGUACCAAUAAAGUGGGGUGCUGCUGAAAAGAUACCCAAAAAUGUGGAAGCGACUUUGGAACUGGGUUAUCAGGCAGAGGCUGGAACAGUUUGGAGGGCUCAGAAGAAGACAGGAAAAUGUGGGAAAGUUUGGAACUUCCUAGAGACUUGUUGAAUGGCUUUGACAAAAAUGCUGAUAGUGAUAUGAACAAUAAGGUCCAGGCUGAGGUGGUCUCAGAUGGAGAUGAGGAACUUGUUGGGAACUGGAACAAAGGUGACCCUUGUUAUGUUUUAGCAAAGAGACUGGUGGCAUUUUGCUCCUGCCUUAGAGAUUUGCAGAACUUUGAACUUGAGAGAGAUGAUUUAGAGUAUCUGGUGGAAGAAAUGUCUAAGCAACAAAGUAUUCAAGAGGUGACUUGGGCGUUCUUAAACACAUUCAGUUUUAUAAGGGAAGCAGAGCAUAAAAGUUCAGAAACUUGCAGCCUGACAAUGUAAUAGAAAAGAAAAUUCUAUUUUCUGAGGAGAAAUUCAAGCUGGCUGCAGAAAUUUGCAUAAGAAAUGGGGACCCAAAUAUUAAUCUCCAAGACAAUGGGGAAAAUGUCUCCAGGGCAUUUCAGAGGUCUUCAUGGCAGCCCCUCCCAUCACGGGACCAGAGGCCUAGGAGGAAAAAAAUGGUUUCUUGGGCCAGGCCCAGGGUCUCCGUGCUGUGUGCAGCCUAGGGACUUGGUGCCCUGCAUCCCAGCUACUCCAGCCAUGAUUAAAAGGGCCCAAGGUACAGCUCGGGCCGUGGCUGCAGAGGGUGCAAGCCUCAAGCCUUGGAAGCUUCUAUGUGGAAUUCAACCUGUGGGUGCACAGAAGUCAAGAACUGAGGCUUGGGAACCUCUGCCUAGAUUUCAGAGGAUGUAUGGAAACGCCUGGAUAUCCAGGAAGUUUGCUGCAGGGACAGGGCCCUCAUGGAGAACCUCUGCUGGGACAGUGUGGAAAGGAAAUGUGGAGUUGGAGUCCCCACACAGAGUCCCAACUGGGGCACCACCUAGUGGAGCUGUGAGAAGAGGGCCACUGUCCUCCAGACCCCAGAAUGGUAGAUCCACCGACAGCUUGCACAUGUGCCUGGAAAAUCGGCAGACACUCAACACCAGCCCAUGAAAGCAGCCAGAAGGGAGGGUGUACCCUGCAAAGCCACAGGGGCUGAGCUGCCCAAGACCAUGGGAACCCACUUCUUGCAUCAGCGUGACCCGGAUGCGAGACAUGGAGUCAAAGGAGAUCAUUUUGGAGAUUUAAGACUUAACUGCCCUGCUGGAUUUCUGAUUUGUAUGGGGACCAGAGCGCCUUUGUUUUGGCCAAUUUCUCCCAUUUGGAAUGGCUGUAUUUACCCGAUACCUGUACCCCCAUUGUAUCUGGGAAGUAACUAACUUGCUUUUGAUCUUACAAGCUCCUAGGCGAAAGGAAUGUGCCUUGUCUCAGAUGAGACUUUGGACUGUGGACUUUUGAGUUAAUGCUGAAAUGAGUUAAGACUUUGGGAGACUGUUGGGAAGGCAUGACUGGUUUUGAAACGUGAGAACAUGAGAUUUGGGAGGGGCCAGAGGCGGGAUGAUAUGGUUUGGCUGUGUCCCCACCGAAAUCUCAUUUUGAAUUGUAACUCCCACAACUCCUGUGUGUCAUUGGAGGAACCCAGUGGGAGGUGAUCGAAUUAUGGGGGCAGGUCUUUCCUGUGCGGUUCUCAUGAUGGUAAAUGAGUCUCACAAGAGCUGAUCGUUUUAAAAGUGGGAGUUUCCCUGUACAAGCUGUCUCUCUUGCCUGCUGCCAUUCAUGUAAGAUGUGACUUACUCCUCCUUGCCUUCCACAAUGAUUGUGAGGCCGUCCCAGCCAUGUGGGACUGGUCUUGCUGUGGUGCCCAGACUACCUGGGCUGCAGUGCAACGGUGCCAUCUCAGCUUACUGCAGCCUCAACCUCCCAGGCUCAAGAGAUCUUCCCAACUCCUGAAUAGCUGGGACUACAGGUUCGCGCUACCAUGCCCAGCUAAGUUUUCCAUUUUUUUGUAGAGACAGGGUCUCGCCAUGUUGCCCGGUCUAGUCUCAAACUCCUGGACUCAAGUGAUUCCCCUGCCUAGGCCACCCAAAGUGCUGGGAUGGAUUACAGGUGUGAGCCGCCAUGCCUGGCCAGAAGGUGAAUUUUGAAGUCAGGUCGACUCGGCUUCAGUUCUGGCUUAGCCACUCCAUAACUGUGUGACAAGAGACAAGUUCUAGCUCUGAAACCCAAUUUUCUCAGGAAAAUGGUGACAGUACACACCACCGUUCCGUUGUAUGAAUUAAAGGUAACAGUUGGGCAAUGCUUGGCAGAGCUCCUCGCACAUAGUAACCACCUUUACUUAUUGCUGGAGGGAAGGUUGUACACCCUUGGGCCUUUUCUCUUUUUGAAAUAGCUGGUAUGGAACUCAGGUGACAAGACUAGUGGAGGCAGGAAGAGGGACCCAGGAAUUCUAUCUUCCUAUGGCUAAAAGGGGAAAAAGAAGCUUCCCCGCCUGGAAUACUUCCUGAAUCUUGCCCCUCCUCCCCAUUUUUCAGGGCUCUUUUCUAGUUCUGCCUCCAGGCAAAAUUAGUACCUCCUCUUUUUGCCUCAGCUUUUCCACAAGUCUAUUUGAACACAUCCUUUGACCCCUUUUAUUGGUGUGAUUUGAACCAGGCACAGUGGCUCAGGCCUGUAAUCCCAGCACUUUGGGAGGCCAAGGCGGGAGGAUCACUCGAGUCCAGGAGUUGGCGACCAGUCUGGGCGACAUAGCAAGACCCUGCCUCUGUUUUAAAAACUUUUUUUUUUUUUGAGACAGAGUCUUGCUCUGUCACCCAGGCUGGAGUGACGUGGCGCAAACUCGGCUCACUGCAAGCUCCACCUCCUGGGUUCAAGCGAUUCUCCUAUCUCAGCCUCCCGAGUAUCUGGAAUUACAGGUGCAUGCGACCAUGCCCGGCUGAUUUUUGUAUUUUUAGUAGAGACGGGGUUUCACCACGUUGGCCAGGCUGGUCUCAAACUCCUGACCUCAGGUGAUCUGCCAGCCUUGGCCUCCCAAAGCGCUGGGAUUACAGGCAUGAGCCACCGCACCCAGCCUUGAAAAAACAAUUUUUUUAAGUAAUUAAAUAUUAGUGUGAUUUUUUUUCUGUUCUUCCUCCACUGUUCCCCAAGCUAUAAACUUCCCUACAGGGCAAGAGUCUUCAAGAUCUUUCUUUCUACCCAGGUGCCCAGAACAGUGUCUGGCACAUUGUAGGCGCUCAAAAAAAUGCUUACUGCCUCGGAAACCUGACCAGAAAAGGCCAACUGUAUGUGGGGUGGGGAAGGGAAUGAGAAGGGUUAACCUUUCUCCUCCACCUUCAGCUCUGUGUCAGAUGAUAUACAAGUGGAGACUGAAUCCCGUAGAUUUAUAGUGUGUUUUAUGAUGAUAUAAACAGAGCUUUUUUGUUAUUAUUAAUCAUCCCAUUUAUGCAUUUCAAAAAUCCACAAAAAUUCAUCAUUAAAAUUUGUUUCAUACCUUCUCAUCCUUUCUCUCAAUAACGUAGCAGUGUUAGAAUUUUGUCUCAAUUCGUCAUGGCCUUCAGGUAGCACUUGUCUGCUGGACACAGAGGGACAGGAAUUCUCAACCUGAAGACUGCAAGUUUCAGCCACCUAUGAAGUUUCAGCAUCCUGAUGUUGCAAAAUGGUACAUAUACAUGUGUACCUAUAUACAUUUUUUUUUGAGACAGAGUCUUGCUCUGCUACCCAGGCUGGAGUGCAGUGGCAUGAUCUCAGCUCACUGCAACCUCCACCUCCCAGGUUCAAGCGAUUCUCCUAUGUCAGCCUCCUGAGUAGAUGGGAUUACAGGUGUGUGCCACCACACCCGGCUAAUUUUUUAUAUUUUUGGCAGAGAUGGGGUUUCACCACGUUGGCAGGCUGGUCUCAAACUCCUGACCUCAAGUGAUCUGCCUGCCUUGGCCUCCCAAAGUGUUGGGAUUACAGGCAUGAGCCACCACCCCUGGCCCAUAUAUGCAUUUUUGGAUAGGGUGAUGGUCUGUGAUUUUUCAGUCAGAUGCUCUCAUGGGUUCCUGACCUAACAAAGGAGAAUGACUACAUUCAAUAGAAGAGGUGCAAAAUAAUGAGAAACACUAAGUGUUCACUGAGAACUCUUUCUUUUCUUUUUCUUUUUCUUUUUUUUUUUUUUUUUUUGAGACGGAAUCUCACUCUGUCACCCAGGCUGGAGUGCAGUGGCGCGAUCUCAGCUCACCACAACCUCCGCCUCCCAGGUUCAAACAAUUCUCCUGCCUCAGCCUCCCGAGUAGCUGGGAUUACAGGCAUGCACCACCACGCCUGGCUAACUUUUGUUUUUUUAGUAGAGAUGGAGUUUCUCCAUGUUGGUCAGGCCAGUCUGAAACUCCUGACCUCAGGUGAUCCACCUGCCUCGGCCUCCCAAAGUGCUGGGAUUAUAGGCGUGAACCACUGUGCCUGGCCUAGUGUACCCAUUCUUUAAGGCCCCACUCCUGUCCCUUCUCCCUACCACUGUCCCUGCCUCUUACCCAACCAGUUGUCUUUCUCUCUUGUAAACUCCAACAUUUCACAUUUAUCUCUUGUUAUAUGUGGCUAGUAACCAUUGAUCACCUUCCUUAUGUUUGCUCAUGUUUUACCUUCCCAGCUAGUCUGUAUGCUUCUCGAAGGCUAGGCUCAUAUUGCACAUCAUUGUAUCUUCUUUGCCCUCUGGAAGGCUAGGAUCAUAUUGCGCAUCAUUGUAUCUUCUUUGCCCUCUGGAAGGCUAGGAUCAUAUUGCGCAUCAUUGUAUCUUCUUUGCCCCCGGAGCAUGGCCUGCCUAGAGGGGAUAUUUGGUCAUUUCUUUUUCAUUGAUUGGUUUUAUAACCACCAUAAUGUUUGAACUCCUUAAUGUGGCCUACAUGGAUUGGUCUUUGCCACCCUAUUUGGCCUCAUUUGUGUCUCCUCCCCCUUUACAUUUUAUACCUAGCCAUCCUCAAUACCAGCCAGUUCCUUAGAAAUUCCAUGGGC